GGGCGCUUGGUCUAGGGGUAUGAUUUUCGCUUCGCAUCAAUUGAUGAUAUUGUGAAAGGUCGUGGGUUCAAUUCCCACAGCGUCCA